GGGCCGGUAGUCUAGCGGAAGGAUUGAAAGCAUUCCCUUAGGAGGGAAAUCCCCCGGGAAUUCAAAUCCCGGCCGGUCCA
rnacentral:tRNA from 1 species